UGACGAAAAAUCUGCAUGUCUCAGGCUCUC
rnacentral:piRNA from 1 species